rnacentral:lncRNA from 1 species
NNNNNNGCCGCCUCUUGGAAAAUCCUUGCUGCGCUGUGACCGGCUUGCACACUCGGCAGCCGCCUCUCCGCUUCACGCACCCUCCGGUAACGAAAAGUAUUUAGUAAUAGCCUUUUGCUGCAACUUUUUUCCUGAUAAUCCUUCUUCUGAAUUUUCUUUUUCUUUCUGACUAGAGUUCCUGAGCUUCUAUCAACACAUGCCCUAACUAUUCUUGGUUCCACUGGGGUGCCUUCUUCCCUUAGUAAUUUACUUCUCACCCCUUCCAUAUUUUCAUCACAAAGACAAUACAAUACACUGAGACAAAACAAGACACAAACAUACUGUAUCAAUCUUCUCCAUUUUCUCGAAAUGGCCAUUUUUCCUCUCGCCCUAUGUGCCUAGGGACGAGCAGAUUUGCUCCCGUCCUAUCUAUGGACGGGCAGCUUUUUUUCGUCACUUACCCCCGAGUGUCCCGGGGCUCCCCGUACGGGCCACCAUCUGCUGCAGUCCGGCUGGCUGCAGCAAAAUAACCGGGGGGGUGACGAAUAACUUGUGUACGUUGACACAGCAGGAGUAGGAGCCGUUUAUUGCAGGACAGGAGCAGUAUUUAUACAUUCCACAGAGCUUAUCUAAUUAGCAUAAACUAGAUACAUCAGUCAACCAAUCAGGAAUCUCCACACUUAAUGGCUUGCUUUUGUUACUUCUCAAACCACUCCCUCUGGCAUUUUGCCAGGCACCAUCCAGACUUG